rnacentral:ncRNA from 2 species
GAUUCGACGGUUCUCCGAGCUAUGAUCCCUACGUCACGAAAGAUACGGGGUGAUAGCCGUGGCAAUAACGCCACUGGGGUGAGUGAAGAAAUGAGCUCGCCUCCCGUGUUUGGAAAGGUGAUCAUGUCUCAACUUC